rnacentral:rRNA from 1 species
AUUGAACGCUGGCGGCAGGCCUAACACAUGCAAGUCGAACGAGUGGCGGACGGGUGAGUAAUGUCUGGGAAACUGCCUGAUGGAUGGGGAUAACUACUGGAAACGGUAGCUAAUACAGCAUAACAUCAGAUGUGCCCAGAUGGGAUUAGCUAGUUGGUGGGGUAACGGCUCACCAAGGCGACGAUCCCUAGCGGGUCUGAGAGGUUGACCAGCCACACUGGGACUGAGACACGGUCCAGACUCCUACGGGAGGCAGCAGUGGUGAAUAUUUCACAAUGGGCGAAAGCCUGAUGCAGCCAUGCCGCGUGUAUGAAGAAGGCCUUCGGGUUGUAAAGUACUUUCAGUGGGGAGGCGUUACCCGCAGAAGAAGCACCGGCUAACUCCGUGCCAGCAGCCGCGGUAAUUC